GAUGAACGCUGACAGAAUGCUUAACACAUGCAAGUCAACUUGAACUUCGGUUUGGGUGGCGGACGGGUGAGUAACGCGUAAAGAACUUGCCUCACAGUUAGGGACAACAUUUGGAAACGAAUGCUAAUACCUGAUAUUAUGAUUUUAGGGCAUCCUAGAAUUAUGAAAGCUAUAUGCGCUGUGAGAGAGCUUUGCGUCCCAUUAGCUAGUUGGAGAGGUAACGGCUCACCAAGGCGAUGAUGGGUGGCCGGCCUUGAGAGGGGUGAACGGCCACAAGGGGACUGAGACACGGGCCCUUACUCCUACGGGAGGCAGCAGUGGGGAAUUUUGGACAAUGGACCAAGAGUCUGAUCCAGCAAUUUCUGUGUGCACGAUGAAGUUUUUUCGGAAUGUAAAAGUGCUUUUCAGUUUGGGAAGAAAAAAAAUGACGGUACCCAACAGAAGAAAGUGACGGCUUAAAUACGUGCCCAGCAGCCGCGGGAAAUACGAAUGUCACCAAGCGUUAUUCCGGAUUUUUUGGGGGCGUAAAGCGCGGUCUAGGGGGUAUAUAAGGCCUGAUGGUGAAAAUGCAGGGCUCAACCUCUGUUUUGGGGUUGGAAACUUGUGAAAACUAGAGAACUGGAAAAGGUAAGCGGGAACUACAAGUGUAGAGGUUGAAUUUUCUUUUAUUUUUUGCGGCACUGCCCAAUAGGAAAACUAUUUUACUGGACGGAUACGGGGGGCGGGAGCGCGGAAGUGUUAGUAACAAAA
rnacentral:rRNA from 1 species